rnacentral:misc_RNA from 1 species
ACUAACGCUACACCGACGCCAUUUUACUGACAAAAGAAAAGAGUCAGAGUGGUGCAAUUAAACAUGUCUACUACACCUAGUAAACCAUCUCCUAUGGAUUUGAAAAAAGAUAAAGACGAUUCUAAAUCCGAAGAUAACAAAAACCAAAUGCAGGGAAAUAAAAGUAAUCAAGAUCAGGGAAGACAGCAAGACAACCGCGGACAUGGCGGAGGAAAUUUUCGUGGUGGCCGGGGUGGUCGUGGCGGCGGCGGUGGCGGUGGAAGAGGCAUGGGUAGAGGGGGCGGUGGGGGUGGAAAUAGAGGCCGAGGGAUGAUGCAGCGAGGUGGAGGAGGAGGUGGGGGUGACAGGCGAGGGAAUCAGGGACAACAGAGUCAGGGGCAGCAUGGGCAGGGAGGAGGUGGGGGCAACUUCAGACAAAACGAAUUCCAAAUGAAUAUGUCGGCACACGACGCUGCACCAAGAGAGCCAAAGAAAUUUACAGGGCGAUGCAGGCUGUUCGUUGGAAAUGUCACAUCAGAAACGUCGGACGAGGAGUUCAAAAACCUCUUCUCAAAAUUUGGUGAAACCGGGGAAAUGUUCUUGAAUGGUUCUAAAGGCUUUGGGUUUAUACGUUUGGAUUACAGACAUAAUGCAGAGGCAGCAAAAGCAGCAUUAGAUGGAAGCCAGCAUAAAGGGAGAACACUUCGCGUCAGGUUCUCAAACCAAGGAUCGGCCAUCAAGAUCAAGAAUCUCUCUCCCUUUGUGUCCAAUGAGUUGCUGGAGAUGGCCAUGCAGCAGUUUGGUGAUGUUGAGAGGGCAGUGGUUGUUGUGGAUGACAGGGGAAGAUCCACUGGAGAAGGGAUUGUGGAGUUUGCCAGAAAGCCUGGGGCACAGCAGGCUCUCAAACGAAUUAAUGACGGAGUCUUCCUUAUGACUUCGUCCCAGAGACCCAUAUCUGCAGAGAAUCUAGAAGCCAAAGAUGAAGAUGAUGGUCUCUCAGAAAAGUUCCUUCCCAGAAAUCAACAGUACCAGGCAGAAAGAGAGAAGGAACCUAGAUUUGCACCCCCCGGCUCCUUUGAGUACAGGUUUGGUCUGAAGUACAGAGAAAUUGAUGAGCUGGAGAAACAGCAGAUAGAGAGAGUGAAACAGGAAAUGGAUCAACAGAGAAUGAAGCUGGAACAUGAGAUGGAGGGGGCCAUGUUUGAUUUUCAGGCAGAACAAAUCAGAGCAGAUUUUAAGCUUUGAUAUAAUCAGGGAUUUUCCCCCUUGAAAGAACUGUUGAGUUGAUGACUGGUGAUCUGAUUUUAACAGUGCUGAAUUUUUAGACAUUUCAGUACAGUCAUGAACAUGGAAGUUUAUGUAGCAUAUUCACAGUAACAAUUCAUGUAUUUCAUUUUUAGUGAAAUUUAUUCUUACUUCGUAAAGUACCUUACAAAUGUUGUUUUUACAAUGAAUAAGGACUAUGAGGAAAACAAUUGCCAGCAAACCAGAUAGAAAGCUGGCAGAAUUUUAUUGCCAUGAGAAACAUGUCAUAUAAUUGUUUAAAAAAAAUUAAUAAUAUUGUUGUCAUAAUUGUAAACCUUGUGUCAUACAUUAAUAAAAUCAUGUGUCUAUUU